GAGUUUGAUUAUGGCUCAGGAUGAACGCUGGCGGCAUGCCUAACACAUGCAAGUUGAACGAGAAGUUCUGGAGGGAGUCUUCGGACGAACGAAGGAAUGGAAAGUAGCGAACGGGUGAGUAACGCGUGGGCAACCAACCUUACACAGGGGAUAACGCAGAGAAAUUUGCGCUAAUACCGCAUAAGCGCACAGUACCGCAUGGUACGGUGUGAAAAACUCCGGUGGUGUAAGACGGGCCCGCGUCUGAUUAGUUAGUUGGUGAGGUAAAAGCUCACCAAGGCGACGAUCAGUAGCCGACCUGAGAGGGUGAUCGGCCACAUUGGGACUGAGACACGGCCCAAACUCCUACGGGAGGCAGCAGUGGGGGAUAUUGCACAAUGGAGGAAACUCUGAUGCAGCAAUGCCGCGUGAAGGAAGACGGUUUUCGGAUUGUAAACUUCUAUCAGCAGGGAAGAAAAUGACG
rnacentral:rRNA from 1 species